CUCGGGCCCCUUCGGGCCCGGCGUUGGGGAUCGGCCGUCCACCGCGGCGGCCGGCCCCGAAAUCCAGUGGCGGUCUCGCUGUAGCCUUCUCUGCGUAGUAGUAAAACCCUCGCAGGCGGAGAGCGGCCUGGCCUCGCCGUAAAACACCCAACUUUACCAAGGUUGACCUCAGAUCAGGUAGGAAUACCCGCUGAACUUAA
rnacentral:misc_RNA from 1 species